rnacentral:rRNA from 1 species
UACAGAGGGUGCGAGCGUUAAUCGGAAUUACUGGGCGUAAAGCGUGCGUAGACGGCUAUCUAAGUCGGGUGUGAAGGCCCCGGGCUCAACCUGGGAAUUGCAUUCGAGACUGAAUAGCUAGGGUGCGGUAGAGGGAAGCGGAAUUUCCGGUGUAGCGGUGAAAUGCGCAGAUAUCAGGAGGAACACCGGUGGCGAAGGCGCUGCUCUGGGCCGGUACUGACGCUGAGGAGCGAAAGCGUGGGUAGCAAACAGG